AAAAUAUAGCUUGCUGUUCAUACAAACUUUGGGAAGUUUUCAGCACAGAGAACGUUUAAGUUUUGAGUAAGUUACUUAACGUGAGCAUGUUUUCAUUCCUGUUGUGAGGGACUAAAGGAUAUUUCUCUGCCUUGUAAAUCCACUGGAGGAGUAAUCUGAAAUACUUCCAAUGGUUACUGAAGAGGAGGAAGGUGAUGAUGAGGACCAAUUAAUGACAAGAAAGUCAUUACAAAUCCUAUUUGUGAAGAUGAGAUUCUCUGAGAUGCAACAACUUCUCAACUUAUGCCAGCAGGAUCUGCACAGCCCUGACAGAAGCAUGCUAAUAUCUUUGGGAUAGUUACUUUAUCUUCAUUUAAAAUGCAAUUAAACAGAACAAAUACUGUGAGGAAAUGGACAAGAUUUUACAUUUGCAUACAAAAAUUAGGGGGAAGAUCUUUUCAUCACAUUAUGAAUUUUAUAUAAACAUUUUGGAAAGAAAAUAAUAUGUGGCGAUAAUGUAGACUGAUAUAAUGAGAUAACUGGAAUGAUAGUACUGUUGUCUGCAGGGUCAAAAAAAUGUUCCAGGAAAGAAUUAAUAAUUUAUGGAAAUGUUUAUCCCUAUAAUUAAAUACUGGAAUUUGGAGCCACUUCCUGCUAAGUUGUUUUAGUCUGCAAAAAUUAAUUCUUAACUCCAGAAAGAGAAAUUU
rnacentral:lncRNA from 1 species